GACGAACGCUGGCGGCGUGCCUAAUACAUGCAAGUAGAACGCUGAAGAGAGGAGCUUGCUCUUCUUGGAUGAGUUGCGAACGGGUGAGUAACGCGUAGGUAACCUGCCUUGUAGCGGGGGAUAACUAUUGGAAACGAUAGCUAAUACCGCAUAACAAUGGAUGACACAUGUCGUUUAUUUGAAAGGGGCAAUUGCUCCACUACAAGAUGGACCUGCGUUGUAUUAGGUAGUAGGUGAGGUAAUGGCUCACCUAGGCGGCGAUACAUAGCCGACCUGAGAGGGUGGUCAGCCAAACUGGGACGGAGACACGGCCCAGACUGCUACGGGGAGGAGCCAGAGGGAAACUUCGGCAAUGGGGGCAAACCUGACCGAGAAACGCCGAGGGAGUGAAGAAGGGUUUCGGAUCGGAAAGGUCUGUUGUAAGUCAAGAAAGGGUGUGAGAGUGGAAAGUUCACACUGUGACGGUAGCUUACCAGAAAGGGACGGCUAACUACGUG
rnacentral:rRNA from 1 species